AGAAUUGAUCUGGUCAGAACGAACGCUGGCGGCGCGUUUAAGCAUGCAAGUCGAGCGGCAAGGGCCUUCGGGCCCCUAGAGCGGCGGACGGGUGAGUAACACGUGGACAAUCUGCCCCCCGGCCCGGGAUAGCCCAGGGAAACCUGGAUUAAUACCGGAUGAGACGGGACCCGCGAUGGCGGGACCCGGGAAAGGCGCUGCGGCGCCGCCGGGGGAUGAGUCUGCGUCCCAUUAGCUAGACGGCGGGGUAACGGCCCACCGUGGCGACGAUGGGUAGCCGGCCUGAGAGGGUGGACGGCCACAUUGGAACUGAGACACGGUCCAGACUCCUACGGGAGGCAGCAGCUAAGAAUCUUCCGCAAUGGGCGAAAGCCUGACGGGAAGCGACGCCGCGUGAACGAAGAAGGCCGUGAGGUUGUAAAGUUCUUUUCGGGAGGGGGAACAACCGUGGCAGGGAAUGGCCGCGGGAUGACGUGAAUCCCGGAAUAAGCCCCGGCUAACUACGUGCCAGCCGCCGC
rnacentral:rRNA from 1 species